rnacentral:rRNA from 1 species
ACGGAAGGCAGCAGUGGGGAAUAUUGCACAAUGGGGGAAACCCUGAUGCAGCAACGCCGCGUGAAGGAUGAAGGCCUUUGGGUCGUAAACUUCUGUCCUUGAGGAAGAUAAUGACGGUACUCUUGGAGGAAGCCCCGGCUAACUACGUGCCAGCAGCCGCGGUAAUACGUAGGGGGCAAGCGUUAUCCGGAAUUAUUGGGCGUAAAGGGUGCGUAGGCGGUUUUUUAAGCGCGGGGUGAAAGGCAAUGGCUUAACUAUUGUUAGCCCUGCGAACUAGGAGACUUGAGUGCUGGAGAGGAAAGCGGAAUUCCUAGUGUAGCGGUGAAAUGCGUAGAUAUUAGGAGGAACACCAGUGGCGAAGGCGGCUUUCUGGACAGUAACUGACGCUGAGGCACGAAAGUGUGGGGAGCAAACAGGAUUAGAUACCCUGGUA